UUUUCUAGUCUUUGUCAUAUACAGUGGACUUAGAGAAGUGCUGCCUACCAUGCUCAUUUACCACAUCCACCAGUAGGGAGUCAAGUGGAGGAUGGGAGAACAAAACAUCAGAAUCCUUAUGGGGUGACGUAAUACAUCUUAUCCACCUGUUUACACGAAGGCAGAAUAGUGGCAGGUGUCUGCCACACAGUCUCAGCUAUAUCUAGGAGUGCCUCACUGAUGGGUAAUGACACUCUAAAGGGUGUUGCUGACUACAUGAUAUCCAACAGUUUGUGCUGUGAAUCCUUGAACUCUUUGAGUAGAAUCUGAAGAGAGUCAGCUACCCGCCUUAUGAAAUCUUAAAACUGCUGAAAAUCAUCAGCCAUGGAUGAUGGUGGAGGCAACUGUUUCCACUGAAGAGGAUGAAAUAGGUGUUUGAGUGGUGGUCUCCUUAUGUGCCCCGGCUUCUUGUUUCUCAAACGUCUCCUCUUGUGGUGUUGAGGGGACUGGUUGGGGAGGAUAAGGCUGUAUAACUCUGGCCUCCCUAUAAAAUGGUACUGGUGGUUAAGCCAAUUGUUUCCAAUAGGCAGUCCCAGGAUCCAAGUAUGGCCAAAGCGAGACUCAUGUGGAAGUGGGGAUGGCAUACAGGGUUGGUUCUGCCACGCUUGAUAAUGAUCUUCCCUGUGACUAUCAGAGAGUAAGUUCCUGAAGGGAUAUGCUGAAGAACCCUGAAUAGAAAUAGAGGAGACUGACUGGAAGUCGCCUUCAUCCUCCUCCAUCUCAUCCAGUGGAGGAGCAUUCACAGAAAGUGGUGCAGUGUCCUGCAUUACCAGAGGAAGGUGAUCAGGAGAUUGAGAUCUUGGUACUGAGAGAGACUUGAUACCCAUAAAGAGCAGGGACUUUGGUUCAUCCAUUAUAGAGAGAUCCUUUGUGCAACUGAAUGUUUGUGGUACCAAGUAGGGGAUCACUACCAAUGCAGUAGCUGAGCACACAGUUGCUGAAGUUGACAGUACCACUCAUGGUGAGUGUUCUGAAGUAGAUGCUUGCUUGGUGACAAAUACAUAGGUACCAACAGCUAGUCUGAGCCUGAUGGUGCCAGUCCAGUAUCUUUUCCCUCCUUGAUGCUAGAGGGUACUGAGGUCCUAUGGGAGCCAUGUCUGUCCUUUAAGUUUGGGACUUCACUACCGCCGCAGUACCAGAGGAGAAGUCCUCCAACUCAGUGGUACCAAGUCAAGAGGUUGAGGCUUUGGAGACUGUAAAUCUCUCUGUAGAACUUUCCUGGGCUUUUUCAGAGCUGGCUCCUUAACGUGAGACUCUGCAUUCCUCUUUUUAGAAGUCUUCAAUGAAGCCUUCAAAGUCUUCACCUUCUUAGGGGAAGCCUGUGCUGAGGCUGAAAGGGCACUGGAUCAGUUGAGAGACAGUACUCAGGAGGAAGGAUCCCAACUCCUUAUGCCAAAGAAGAAUUAGGAACAAGAUUCACCCCCUUCUUUGAACUACCAGCGGUGCCUAGAGAACCAGGUGCUGAACAUACACAGAGCAAAGAUGGUUCCAACCCUGAAGAGUUUACAAUCAAUUUAUAACAUGAAAGACAACAUCUGGAUAUAACAAACAGAUGAGGAGGAGCACAAGAUAAGGAUGGAGAUCUGGCCAACGAUGGGCAAUCAGAGACUUUGGUGGGAGAGGAGUGAGUAGAAGCUAGAAAGGAGAGUCUCUGUUUACAAUGGAAGUGGAGGAAAAGAACUCCAAACAGCAAUUUCAGACAGAGCGUUCAAUGAGCCUACGAAUGAAGGGAAGGAGGAAGAUGGGGUGGUAGCUGGAGAUGCAACCAGAAUCAACCAUGAGUUUUUUUUUAACAUGGGAGAGACUAAAGGAUGCCUGCUUGUACUGCGAAGAGAACGAACCACAGGGAAGGGAGAGAUUGAGAAGAAAGACGAGGGAGAUGAUUACAGCGUGAGUGAGGGAGAUCAGGAAAUGGGAUAAGGUUGCUGGGGCAGGCGGAGAGAUUAGAGGAGAAAGACAAGAUAUCUCAGUUUCACUGAUGUGGGAAAGAAGUAAGCGAUAAGAGAGAUUAGGAAAGGAUGGAGGGGAAGGGAGAUCCCUUUGGAUUUUGUCAUUUUUCUCAUGCCUUUUUCUUUUUGGGAUUAACUGUUGCCUGCUUGUUCUUGAAUUUACCCUAACACAAAUGCCCUUGGAACACCUCUGCCAUUCAAAUUUAUCUCAUAGUUUCUUUUCAGAUCCUCCUUUGUGCUUGAUUUCCUUUGGGCCUUAAGUAAUGCCAGUGGAAAUCCAUACAGAGAGCAGAUGUGUGUUGAGUAUCAACCAUAUAUAGACUCUUGACCAGACUGUUGGCUGCACUUGUCCCAGAUCUGGCUGAGCUCCCCCUGUUGGAUACUCACCAGACUGCUGUGAGGCAAUUCAAACUGAAUCUGUGUUCUUUAAGACUCCAGUGCCUGAACAGACUCCAGGCACUACCCCUUCUGGGAUCCUCUAACACAUCCUGAGCUGAGACCCCAAGGUCCAACUGCCUAAUCACUGGCAGAGGCCACUCAAUCCGAUUUGCUGCCCUAGGCAAAAUAUCAGUGUGCUGCCCCGUCCCACUUCCUUAAAAGUUGGUCUUGGACCCCUAGUGUCUUCCCUGAUGCUACUACCCCCACCCCCAAACUUCAUAUAGCUGGGUUGGAGAGAUCCCAACGUGUACACUUUCCAGGUAGGUUGAUACCAGGUGUCCAGGGCUCUAAAGGGGAGCAAGCCCUUGCUCAGCCACAGAGGGACAUGGGCAUUAUCAGAGGACAGCUUCCAGCCCAUUGAGCCCAGGUGAAUGGGCAGCUUGGAAGCCCAUCCCCCUAGCACAGGAGUUGGCAGGCUCCUUCCCACUGGGCAAAGUCAGAGUCUCUGCACCUUGGCCCCCAAACACUGGCCCAGCCCACACCAGGCUGCCCCAGCCAAGUCCCGCACUUUGUCCCCUGCACUCCACACCACCAUCCUGCACCCUCAGCCUGCAAACCCACUCACCCCCCACUGCAUCUCCUCCCCAUCGCAGCCUACACUCCCUGCCUGGCCUUGGUCCCCAGCAACUUUUCUGGCUCAUUAAUCCUACUAUUGGAUCCUAGUAUUCAAUACUUCAGUACUGAAUCUUGUGACGACCUGCUGUUAGUCAAUUGCUAGGAUAAAAUUGGCUUGUUAUUUCUACUCUUUCUUGUCUCUUUCAAGGGUCAGCUUGUAAUGAUUUUCUUCUGCCCUAGCAUGCUCCCAAUGGAUUUUUAGGCCUUGUCUACACUACCAGGCUAAGUCAACCUAAGUUCCGCAACUCCAUCUACGUGAAUAACAUAGCUGGAGUUGAUAUCUGCGGUGUCUACACUACACUGCAUCGACGGGAGAGUGUCUCCCGUUGACUUACUUUACUCUUCUCGUUCCGGUGGAGUACCAGAGCUGACGGGAGAGCAAUCUGUAGUCAAUUUUGCGGGUCUUCCCUAGACCCGUUAAAUCAACCCCCAGUGCAUAGAUUGCAGCAGCACUAAUCCCCCGGUAAGUGUAGAC